CAAUACCUGUAUUUUAAAACUUGGAGUAAGAUUUACUCAGGUUUUGUAAUAUAAAAAAGUCUUUCACGAUCUGAAGUGAAGCUGCAGUAAUUUUUUUCAGGAAAAAAAAACACACCACCGAAAUCAAAAAACCACCGAGUUAAGAUUUCUACAUAAAUGGCUGUCUUGAAAUGCUCCCCUUCUGGGGUUCAGGAAGAUCUUGAUGAGCACCUCCAGUCCUUUAGGCAGGAACACUGGCUGCAAGUGUACUAUAUCAAUCCUGGCGCUGCUGCAGGAGUUAGUCAUCCUCUGAGUCACUCUCUCCCCUGGUUGGGACACAUGCCCUUAUGGAGGACAUGAGCUGGUCCUGGAUCUGUUUCCUGGGGUUCUCCUCAAGGUCUGUCUUGAUGGCACCCGACUCUGAGAUCUUCCACUCCAGUUCAUCCCUCGUCAAGUUCAUGCCACCGAACACCAAAGGCCCAAUGAACUGAGCUCUGAUGUCUCCGUCAAGGUAGACAAAUAUCGUAGGCAGAUUCUUAUCGGGAUAGUUGGGUAUGCAGGUGGUAGAGAUAGCUUUGAUGAAUUUCACAUCUCUGAACUUUUUUGCAAGUCCACUUAAAUGUUGGUUUAUUAAGGCACAAAGUGGAAUUCCCUGUUUGUAGAGGUGCAGGACUACCCAUAUACCUUUCCCAGCCUUCGUAACCUCUUGAACGUAAUCCUUUCCCAAAAUCUCCAGAACUUCUCCAAAUUUAUUCUUCAUUUGAGCUGCUUUCAUUUCUGCUAAUCUUUGCUGUCUGUACAUUUCAAUAGCUUUCUCAUCUUCCUCAUUAAAUUCAUCCUCGUUUUCUUCUAGCUCCUCCAGAGUCAUGUCCUCAUACGUUUUCACAAGAGACUUCUGAAGGAUUUCAAACUGCUCCUCUUCCUUGGCGCGCUCCUGCUCUUCUCUGUUUUCCUUUGGAGGAAGGAUACCUUUCUUGCGCAGGAUGUCAUUCCACUCGGUGUCUUUCUCUGGGUCCUGCAUCUUGCCUGCGGGACGGCGACCCGGAAAGCAGCGGCGCUGGGCAGGGCCGGUCCCGGCGUGCGCGGCGCAGAGAGGCGGCGCUGCCGCACGGGGCGGGGCCGGUGUCGCCACUGCCGCUUCCCGGAGCGCCUAAUAAGGCCGGGCCUGCUUCAGUGCGGCCUCUUCCCGAUUGGAGGCGCGGUGCUUUCAGCUUUGCGGGUGACGCUGAUCUUGUGACAUACGGCUACAGACCGUGGGUCUCUGAGUGCUUCUCGUCUGCCUCUUGCAAGCAAGCUGUGUGAAAAUGCAGGCAGUGCUUUCCAAAUUAGAGGGAAAGGAUUGAAAUCCAGCUCCCUGGGGAGCCCGUGCCAGGGCUCAAGCACCCUCAGGUGGUGCCUAGAUAGUCACUUGUACAUUGGUUUUGAGCCUGUCUUAAAGCAUCACUGAGCAACCACGGAGGAAUGGGCUGGGUGUGGGCUCCCUAACCCCUCUGGAGCUUUAGUCUCAUGCCGACACGUAGGAAAGUCCAUCCCCUCAUCAUUCCAUUGGGGUCAGCACCCCAUUCCCUAACAACACACACUUCCACACCUGCAAAAAAUUCAGCUGUCCUUAUGCUUUCUUCAUUUGGUGCAGUAGUUUGUUAGCCAGCACACUCAGAAACGGCAGCCUAGCCCUGUGACCCCAGAAACUACCCCACACAGCCAGCCUGCAGGCCUUGAGAUUGUUCUUUUUCUAUGCUCCAGCAAGGGGCUGAAGUAAAACUUUAUGUCUCCUUGCAACCCAACUAGAUUUUUGCUGUGCUAACUGCGAGACUUUUUACUGAAUGGAAGGCACAAUCACCUGUCCUCCCUCUGAGACUGACAGUUGACAGUGAUCAUUAAAAUGAAUAUUUGGAUGCAUGGAAUGUGUCCCAUAUCCACCUUCUGUGGCCCUGAAGUAGGGGAAUACUCAACUUGAUGUUUAGGUGCACCAGAUGUUCAUCACUGUGGAUGCUGUGGUUGUCUGAGUGGUGCUGGAGCCACAGUUAUAGAUUACACAAGAACUUUGAAGCCAGCAUCUGAGCUGAGGUUUUUAGGAUUGCAAUUUUGGAAUCUACUGCAGGCCCG
rnacentral:lncRNA from 1 species